AUGCCCGCGGCCCUGGGCACAGGCGGAUCCGGGUUCCCUGGUGAAGCCUGAGUCACACACCGUGGCCCCGUGGGGUUCACGGGCCUGUGAGCCAUGGACUUGGCACCAGGUCAGCCAGAGUCACGUCUAUUCAGAGACAAGGAAAAUAUCGUGUCUGUUCCCCCUCCUCCCUGGGAAAACAAAGGCCUGGUUCAUCUGCACCUCUGGGAACAUGCUCUGGGUUCGAGGGACCAGGCCCUUGGGUGACAGAGGGGAACCAUGACUCAGCCACCGUCAGCCACCCAGCUUGCUGAUGCUGACCCCUGUCUUCGCAGCCGUCACUCAUGUCUCGGCCAAGGAUGGGCUGGGGGCCUGGGAGGCACCUGCUGGACCAAGGGUCUCCAGGUCCCCACUCUCAAGGACCCCCCAUCACGCUGCCUGGGCUUGGCCCCAAGGCCUGGGCUCUUGCCCCUCUUGGAAUUUUGGGGCACUCUGGGCAGAAGCUAGGUUUCCAAGAUACCAGGAAUGCCUCCACGCACCCUCCCUGGGGCUGGGCUGCCCAGGGCCAUGUGGGAGGGCCAGCCAUGGUGCAGGAGGACAAGUAUCAGGCUGGGGAUGGCCCCGUCCUCAGCUGUCCUGUGCCCCUCCAACUUGAGAGCCUCAGGGACUCUGUGCAGCCACCUGCCCCAUGGGGAUGUUCUCGUGUGGGCACUACUGUCCUCGUCUCUCACACAUACACACACACACACGGGGCAGCCCUGCCCUGGACAUCACGGCUCAAGGGAGAAGAUGAGACAGUGGUCACACAGGUGGUGACCAGAACGGUCAGCACAGAGUCUCCAAUCACCACCGCCCCAUGCUUCCCCCAUGCAGGGCACUGGACGGCAGGACACUGGGCUCAGGGUGCUUGUCUGGCUGCCCCUGGGCGCCCCCAACAGCUGCCCAGCCUGGCCCACCAGGAGCGGGGAUCAGCCCCUUGCAGUUUAGUGACCUCUGGGUGGGCGCUUAAGGCAGAAUGUCCUUCAGGGCACUCAUGGGGCAAGAGGGAGGCCUCAGCCCACCUGCAGGCCAUGAACUCCCCAACCAGAGCUCCCAUGCACGACCCACAGGUGGGGCCCCGGGGGGAAGGGCCCUCGCUGGCCCUGUCCAUCUGGAAGCCUGGUGGUUGUCAGAGCAAGGUUUGGGGUUUGCAUAAGCAGUGAGGGGAAGUGUGGUC
rnacentral:lncRNA from 1 species